rnacentral:rRNA from 1 species
GAUGAACGCUAGCUACAGGCUUAACACAUGCAAGUCGAGGGGCAGCAUGAACAAAGCUUGCUUUGUUUGAUGGCGACCGGCGCACGGGUGCGUAACACGUAUCCAAUCUGCCCGCGGCUCGGGGAUAGCCCAUCGAAAGAUGGAUUAAUACCCGAUGGUGUGGUCACUCCGCAUGGGGUUUCCACUAAAGGUUUUCCGGCCGCGGAUGAGGAUGCGUAUGAUUAGGUAGUAGGCGGGGUAACGGCCCACCUAGCCUUCGAUCAUUAGGGGUUCUGAGAGGAAGGUCCCCCANACUGGAACCGAGACACGGUCCAGACUCCUACGGGAGGCAGCAGUGAGGAAUAUUGGUCAAUGGGCGAGAGCCUGAACCAGCCAAGUAGCGUGAAGGAGACUGCCCUAUGGGUUGUAAACUUCUUUUGUUCGGGAAUAAAGUGCAGUACGCGUACUGUUUUGUAUGUACCGUUCGAAUAAGCAUCGGCUAAUUCCGUGCCAGCAGCCGC